rnacentral:rRNA from 1 species
UACGGGAGGCAGCAGUGGGGAAUAUUGGGCAAUGGGGGAAACCCUGACCCAGCAACGCCGCGUGAAGGACGAAGGCCUUCGGGUUGUAAACUUCUUUGAUCAGGGACGAAACAAAUGACGGUACCUGAGGAACAAGCCACGGCUAACUACGUGCCAGCAGCCGCGGUAAUACGUAGGUGGCAAGCGUUAUCCGGAUUUACUGGGUGUAAAGGGCGUGUAGGCGGUCUUGCAAGUCGGAAGUGAAAUUCCCGGGCUUAACCCGGGCGCUGCUCCCGAAACUGCGAGACUUGAGUACUGGAGAGGAUAGUGGAAUUCCUAGUGUAGCGGUAAAAUGCGUAGAUAUUAGGAGGAACACCAGUGGCGAAGGCGGCUAUCUGGACAGUAACUGACGCUGAGGCGCGAAAGCGUGGGGAGCAAACAGGAUUAGAUACCCUGGUAGUC